rnacentral:rRNA from 1 species
GAUGAACGCUGGCGGCGUGCCUAAUACAUGCAAGUCGAGCGAACAGAUGAGGAGCUUGCUCCUCUGACGUUAGCGGCGGACGGGUGAGUAACACGUGGAUAACCUACCUAUAAGACUGAGAUACCUUCGGGAAACCGGAGCUAACACCGGAUAAUAUAUUGAACCGCAUGGUUCAAUAGUGAAAGCCGGUUUUGCUGUCACUAAUAGAUGGUUCCAGGCCGCAUUAGCUAGUUGGUACGGUAACGGCUUACCAAGGCAACGAUGCGUAGCCGACCUGAGAGGAUGAUCGGCCACACUGGAACUGAGACACGGUCCAGACUCCUACGGGAGGCAGCAGUAGGGAAUCUUCCGCAAUGGGCGAAAGCCUGACGGAGCAACGCCGCGUGAGUGAUGAAGGUCUUCGGAUCGUAAAACUCUGUUAUUAGGGAAGAACAAAUGUGUAAGUAACUAUGCACGUCUUGACGGUACCUAAUCAGAAAGCCACGGCUAACUACGUG